rnacentral:rRNA from 1 species
AUUGAACGCUGGCGGCAGGCUUAACACAUGCAAGUCGAGCGAGCGGCGGACGGGUGAGUAAUGUCUGGGAAACUGCCUGAUGGAGGGGGAUAACUACUGGAAACGGUAGCUAAUACCGCAUACUAUCGGAUGAACCCAUAUGGGAUUAGCUUGUAGGUGAGGUAACGGCUCACCUAGGCGACGAUCCCUAGCUGGUCUGAGAGGAUGAUCAGCCACACUGGGACUGAGACACGUCCCAGACUCUUACGGGAGGCAGCAGUGGGGAAUAUUGCACAAUGGGCGAAAGCCUGAUGCAGCAAUGCCGCGUGUAUGAGGAAGGCCUUCGGGUUGUAAAGUACUUUCGGUGGGGAGGCGUUACCGGCAGAAGAAGCACCGGCUAACUCCGUGCCAGCAGCCGCGGUAAUUC